GGGGGGGGGGGGGGGGGGGGGGGGGGCGGGGGGGGCGGGCGGGGGCGGCGGGGGGGGUGGCGGGGGGGUGAGUGAGGGGUGGGAGCGUGCCCUUUGGUUCGGAACAACUCAGGGAAACUUGAGCUAAUACCGGAUGUGCCCUUCGGGGGAAAGAUUUAUCGCCAUUGGAGCGGCCCGCGUCUGAUUAGCUAGUUGGUGAGGUAACGGCCCACCAAGGCGACGAUCAGUAGCUGGUCUGAGAGGAUGAUCAGCCACACUGGGAAUGAGACACGGCCCAGACUCCUACGGGAGGCAGCAGUGGGGAAUCUUGCGCAAUGGGCGAAAGCCUGACGCAGCCAUGCCGCGUGAAUGGUGAAGGUCUUAGGAUUGUAAAAUUCUUUCAGCGGGGACGAUAAUGACGGUACCCGCAGAAGAAGCGCCGGCUAACUUCGUG
rnacentral:rRNA from 1 species